UGGGGAAUAUUGCACAAUGGGCGCAAGCCUGAUGCAGCCAUGCCGCGUGUAUGAAGAAGGCCUUCGGGUUGUAAAGUACUUUCAGCGGGGAGGAAGGGAGUAAAGUUAAUACCUUUGCUCAUUGACGUUACCCGCAGAAGAAGCACCGGCUAACUCCGUGCCAGCAGCCGCGGUAAUACGGAGGGUGCAAGCGUUAAUCGGAAUUACUGGGCGUAAAGCGCACGCAGGCGGUUUGUUAAGUCAGAUGUGAAAUCCCCGGGCUCAACCUGGGAACUGCAUCUGAUACUGGCAAGCUUGAGUCUCGUAGAGGGGGGUAGAAUUCCAGGUGUAGCGGUGAAAUGCGUAGAGAUCUGGAGGAAUACCGAUGGCGAAGGCGGCCCCCUGGACGAAAACUAACGCUAAGGUGCGAAAGCGUGGGGAGCAAACAGG
rnacentral:rRNA from 1 species